AGAGAGACCAAUACAGAUGUACCAUAAUACUAAGGCUAACCAGAGCUGCCCGUACUACUAUGACUGAAAUAGAGUUUGUGUCACAAAUCCCACCCUUUUCCUGAUAUAGUGCCCUUCUGAACAGGGCCCAUAGGGCUUUGGUCAACAGUAGUGCACCAUGCAGGGAAUAAAGUGCAGUUUGGGACGUAAACAAAUAUAUUUUGUUUCAAAACUUCCAACUGGCAUAAAAUUCCAGUAAUAAUAGCAAUUUACUGGAUGGAAAAUCUGGUUUGAAAUACAUUACAUACUAUGAUAUAAUUAUAUGCUGAACUGCUCAGUAUGAACAACUUAAUGUUUUUUGGAAUAAUUGUAAACAGAAAAAGUACUGACUUGGCGUUUUGUCUAUGAUAGCAUUUGGUCACACGUGAGUGCUACUGUAUUAAACAGCUACGGUACAGUACAGUACAGUGACUGUUCAUUACAAAUCUGUGGUCCAAAAUCUCAGCAUAAAUCCUCUACCAAUUAUUCCAUAGCUCUGUCAGCCCUCUCACGGUUCACUUAAAGUACACUGAGCAGAAAGAACAUUCCUGUCAGAGCAUCUGUUUAGUAGAGCACUACACAUCUCUAGGUUCAGACCAGAGAGAUUUAGGUUUUGACAAGAGACACAGAUGUUGAAGGUUGUAGUAGCCUGAAGGAGGGAAGGAGAAGCGAAGGAGGGAGGGAAGAAUAGUUGGAGGGAGGGAAGAAGAGUAGGAGGGAGAGAAGAAGAGUAGGAGGGAGGGAAGAAGAGUAGUAGGGAGAGAAGAAGAGAAGGAGGGAGAGAAGAAGAGUAGGAGGGAGAGAAGAAGAGUAGGAGGGAGGGAAGAAGAGUAGGAGGGAGAGAAGAAGAGUAGGAGGGAGGGAAGAAGAGUAGGAGGGAGGGAAGAUGAGUAGGAGAGAAGUAGGAGGGGGGAAGAAAAGUAGGAGGGAGAGAAGAAGAUUAGGAGGGAAGUAGGAGGGAGAGAAGAGUAGGAGGGGAGAAGAAGAGUAGAAGGGAGCGAAGAAGAGUAGGAGGGAGAGAAGAAGAGUAGAAGGGAAGAAGAGUAGGAGGGAGGGAAGAAGUGUAGGAGGGAAGAAGAGUAGGAGGGUGAGAAGAUGAGUAGUAGGGAGAGAAGAAGAGUAGGAGGGAAAGAAGAAGAGUAGGAGGGAAGUAGGAGGGAGAGAAGAAGAGUAGGAGGGGGAGAAGAAGAGUAGAAGGGAGGGAAGAAAAGUAGGAGGGAGAGAAGAAGUGUAAGAGGAAUGAAGAGUAGGAGGGAGAGAAGAGGAGUAGGAGGGGGAGAAGAAGAGUAGGAGGGAGUGAAGAAGAGUAGGAGGGAUUGAAGAAGAGUAGGAGGGAAGUAGGAGGGAGAGAAGAAUAGUAGGAGGGGCAGAAGAAGAGUAGGAGGGAGGGAAGUAGAGUAGGAUGGAGAGAAGAAGAGGAGAGAGUUCUUCUUAGGGAUAGAUUCUAUCAGAUCUGCGCUAGCAGACAUCCUCAUAGCGGUUGUUUUGGCGGCGGCAGAGGUGGAAUGCAUUAGAACUGUCAAAUCCACAAGCGGCUCCCAGAUUUAUACCUAAAGUGGACAUUGCAAUUGGCUGCACAGAGUCACAUUAAGGGAAAUUUCGAACAUUGGAGUUUGAGAUCUAAUCUACACCUCGGUUAGUCUAAUAUAAAUCUUCAUGACAUAAUUGAAUGAUUUUUUUAGUUUCAGUGUAAUUAUUUCUAUAUAGCCUAUACUUUAUUGUUCUGAACUUCAUGACAAUGAUCACAUGAGCUGCUGCUCACCGAUUUAUGAGUAGUUACACCUCCGACACCGCCAAAACAUCAGCUAUGUGGGUGUCGGCUAUUGCCGCUUUACACUUGAUCUAAUUUAAUCUAGGCCUUAGUUGCCUGGUCCAAUAGCUGUUUGUGCUCUCUUGCACAAACAGAUCUGAGACCAGGCUACAAAAUAGUCACAGCAAAGACCAUAGGAACUGGAGAGACAGCACAAACAGAUCUGAGACCAGGCUACAAAAGAGUGAUAGCAAGGACCAUAGGAACUGGAGAGACCGCACAAACAGAUCUGAGACCAGACAAUCUCCUUAGCGAUGGAGGAUAGUAAGUCUCUUUAGCGAUGUAAAGUUUUGAGAGAGUCUUUGAGCUGUUUGGUGAAGGAGGCGUGGAGGGUCUGAGACAAGGUAUCCAGCCCCUUGGCGAUGUCUGCUGCUGCCUGGAAGAGGCCCUCAAACGUUAGGGACUCCUCUUUGAUUCUGUCAUGAAAGGAGACAAGACAAACAGGGUUAGCAGGGAGAGAGGGGAGGAUGGAGGGAGGGAGUGAAGAAGGGAGGGAGGGAGAGAGCGGAGGAGGGAG
rnacentral:lncRNA from 1 species